AAAGAAGUGUUACCAACGGGUGAUAACUCAAUUGCUUGAAAGAUUCUUGUGCAAAAUGCUUGUCCCGCAUGUCUACAGGAAUCCAAAACCAUUUUCCAUUGUCUACUAAUGUGUGAUUUGGUGGGGGGUGCGCGGAUUUAAUUAAAUAGGUAUAAUAGAUUUGGUACAUAUUUGUAGUGAAUCUAUUUUUAUUUAGUGCGUGGAUGUUAUCUUUUAAUAAUUUACUUUUUUCGUAAGAUAUAUUCAUUAAUUAUUUUAUCCUGUAGUAAUUACAGAGUUACAAAUUCUUGUAUAAUAAUUUAUUCUAUCUGUGCUAUAAUAUAUAUCUAAUUCUAGAUUUUCAAUGUUAUUUAUUAUUUUAUGUUGUUCUUCUCGUAGUGAGUUUUUUAAAUUAUAUAAACUAUCACAUGUACUUUUAUCUAAAUUUUCUAAGGUUUUUUCUAUCCAUACUAAUUUUUCUUUUAGGUCUUUCAUUAUUUGUCUAAUUCGGUUUCUAUAAUUAAUUUCAUUAUUUAGAUUUUCUUGAUUUUCUCUAGUUUGUCUAAUAUAUUCUAACAUA
rnacentral:lncRNA from 1 species